UCAGAAGCUUGUAAAUAUUGCUUCACUGUCUUCUGACAUUGAGCAUUGCUGUUAAGAAGUCUGAGACUGACAAGAUACUUAUUCCCAGAUGAAGAAACAAAGGCAGAAAGAAGACAUCGUGUCCCAGGAUCCUACAGCAAAUAAAUGAUAAAGCAAACAACACAUGAGUUAUUAGAAAAUCAAUGCAAAACUAGAAAAUAAGAAGUAAAUCCCAUCUCCAGGAGAUAAUUUGGUGAGUAGCCUACAGAUAUCUUUCUGUGCACCUCUCUCUGUGUACAAUUUUAUAAAAAUAAGAUCAUAUAGUCCUAUAGCCUGGUUUUGUUUCUCAGAAACAGAUUAAUUGUAAUACAUUGUCUUGCACUCACAUAACUUUCAUGCAUUUUUUAUUUUUUCUUUAGUAUAAAUUCUCAUAUAUAGGGUUGUGGCAUCACACAAAAUGCACAUUGUCAUUUUAAUACCCUUUGUUAAAAUGUAUGGGCUGUGAUAUUUACCUCAUUAACAGGGCACUAAAAGGAUUGGUUCCCUAAGCUCCCAGUGAAUGCUUAAUUUUGUCAAGUUUUUGGUUAAUUCUGGUAUAUUAAAGAAGAAUCUUAGUGUUUUAAAAUAUUUUAUAAUUACUAAUGAAGUUGAACAUCUUUUUAUAUAAUGAUUUGCUUUUAGUAUUUGGUGAAUUUUCAUUUUACAGUUUUGCACAUUUUUCUAUUUCAUUGUUUGUGAGAUCUUUUUUGUAUGCUUAUUUGUGAGAUCUUUUUUGUAUGUUUAUUGCCUUUCACGUGUUACUAAUAGUAUUUCUCAGUUUGUAUUUUUCUCUUACUUAUUAUAAUUUUUGCCAUUCUGAAAUUUUCAAAAAUAUUGUUAUUUUUAUGUUUUUUAAAAUAAUUUUUAAAUUUAUAUCAAAAGACUGGCCAUUACUGUCACAUAAGGUUAAAAUGUUUAUCAGUGUUCUCUUAUAUUUUCAUCUGUCUGGGCUUUGUUUUAACAUAAGUAUGAAACUGAGUUCUGGAUUUCCCUCCCAAAUAAUUCUUAAAAUGAGUUAAUUCAUUGAAUUCACAUUUAAUCAUACUUUAUGAUUAAAAAAUCUGAAUAUACAAUCUAACUCUCAAAUAAUGGAUUGCUUAAAGAGAAUAAUGUAAAUGAUGACUUUUCUGGAAAAUCAAUUCUGGGGUCCAUAUGAACACUUUAAGGCAACAUUAACUGAGAAUGAGACAAAGCUUGGAGAGUGUGGAUGUGACCUUCCCCACCCCUUACUUCUUUUUAAAUCAUUGCGUGAACCUUGCACUUUGCUAAACUUUCCUUCCAAAAGUAAUAGUGUAUUUUCAAUGUCCUCAAACCCCUUUAAAACGCAAACAGAAUUUCUCUGUCAAGGUGACCAUCUGGGGGAAGGGAGAGGCAGCAUCUUUUUUACUAAUCUGUGAAUAAUUUUUAGUGAACUGAUAUUCAUUGAAUGUCUACAUGUCAUGUUCAUAAGUAAGCUGCACUGGGCCGGGUGUGGUGGCUCAUGCCUGAAAUCCCAGCACUUUGAGAGGCUGAGGCAGGUGGAUCACCUGAGGUCAGGAGUUCAAGACCAGCCUGGCCAACAUGGCACAACCCUGUCUCUAUUAAAAAAUACAAAAAUUAGCUGGGCGCGGUGGCAAGUGCCUGUAAUCACGGCUACUCAGGAGGCUGAGGCAGGAGAAUCACUUGAACCUGGGAGGCAGAAGUUGCAGUGAGCCAAGAUUGCACCAUUGCUCUCCAGCCUGGGAGACAGAGCAAGACUCCAUAAAAAAACAAAAACAAAAACAAAAACAAAAAACCUGCACUGUAGAUCUCAUGAAUGCAUGUUACAAAUGAAGACACUGACACUUAUGAUUGAGUAACUUUUCUAAAGUUUCCCAGCUACCAGACUGCAGAGCCAAGAUUUAACCCAACAGCUUGACACCGAAGCCAAUGCUCUUUGCAGUGAAGGAAGAAAAGAAGGUAAAUAAUUUAAAUCAAACAACACAGCAACAGAAAGCCUGACAAGCCUCACUAGAAAUACAAUUUGUCAUUUCUGGCCUGGCUAAUAGCUGACAGAGGAAAACAGAUGUUUAAAGAAAGUCCCCCAUCAUCAACCGCGAGGAGGAUUACCUGUUUGGCAACCAAGACUCUAAGGGCCCCUGCCUUCUUCAGUGUCUCCAGUGGUCCCAGUCAACGUUUCUGGAGCUUUUAUAUCUUCUUGCCUCAGGAAUUAAUAAUCUUUACUUUAAUCACAAAGCGAUAAUAUUAUUUGAGAAAAACAAUCCAUCCAUAAAAGUCUUAUCUACAGUGAAAAAAAUGAAUCAUAUAGGAGACGGCUUCAGAAUGUACGUAAGGUGUGCUUUGACUAGCCAGGAAAAGAACCUCUCCCUGUGUGCAAACAGAAUCUUUUCUUCACAUCACGUUAUUAAAACUGACAACAUCCUGUAAUCUGUUAUAAGCCCAUCUUCCUCUCCCCUUAUGUUACUUUUUCAUGGCUGUCUUUUUAUGCCUUGGUAU